AUGAGGGUUGAGUAUCUCUACCCUUUUCCAGGUCCUGGUGGUGGGCAGGCACUAAGAGUGAGACUCUCUAAGCUGGCGAGGCUUACCUGGUAUCUCAGGGACCAGAGGAAGAAGCUUGCUGUUCUUAGUCAAACUGGUUCCUGCAAACUCAGAGCCAGUCGAGGACACUGCACAGGCAAGAGCACAGCAGGAGAAUUGCUUGAAGAAAAGGAAGAUAAAGAAGAAGAAAAAGAAAAAAGAGAAAGAGUCUGAAGACAAACCUGAAACUGAAGAUGUUAGUUCUGAUGAAGAAGAAGAAGGAAAGAAGGAUGGUGACAAGAAGAAGAAGAUUAAGGAAAAGUACAUUGAUCAAGAAGAACUCAACAAAACAAAGCCCAUCUGGACCAGAAAUCCUGACAAUACUACUAAUGAGGAGUAUGGAGAAUUAUACAAGAGCUUGACCAAUGACUGGGAAGAUCAUUUGGCAGUGAAGCAUUUUUCAAUUGAAGGACAGUUGGAAUUUAGAGCCCUUCUAUUUUUCCCACUACGUGCUCCUUUUGACCUGUUUGAAAACAGAAAGAAAAAGAACACCAUCAAGUGGUAUAUAUGCAGAGUUUUCAUCAUGGAUAACUGUGAGGAGCUAAUCUCUGAAUAUCUGACUUUCAUUACAGGGGUGGUAGACUCAGAGGAUCUUCCUUUAAAUAUUUCUUGUGAGAUGUUGCAACAAAGCAAAAUUUUGAAAGUUAUCAGGAAGAAUUUGGUCAAAAAAUGCUUAGAACUCUUCACUAAACUGGCAGAAGAUAAAGAGAACUACAAGAAGUUCUAUGAGCAGUUCUCUAAAAACAUAAAGCUUGGAAUACACGAAGACUCUCAAAAUCAGAAGAAGCUUUCAGAGCUGUUGAGAUGCUGCACAUCUGCCUCUGGUGAUGAGAUGGUUUCUCUCAAGGACUACUGCACCAGAAUGAAGGAAAACCAGAAACAUACCUACCAUAUCACAGGUGAGACCAAGUACCAAGUAGCUAACACAGCCUUUGUGGAACAUCUUUGAAAACAUGGCUUAGAAGUGAUCUAUAUGAUUGAGCCCAUUGAUGAGUACUAUGUUGAACAGCUGAAGAAAUUUGAGGGAAGACUUUAGUGUCAGUCACCAAAGAGGGCUUGGAACUUCCAGAGGAUGAAGAAGAGAAAAAGAAACAGGAAGAGAAAAAAACAAAGUUUGAGAACCUCUGCAAAAUCACGAAAGACAUAUUGGAGAAAAAAGUUGAAAAGGCGGUUGUGUCAAACCGAUUGGUGACGUCUCCAUGCUAUAUUGUCACAAGCACAUAGGGCUGGACAGCAAACAUGGAGAGAAUUAUGAAAGCUCAAGCCCUAAGAGACAACUCAACAAUGGGUUACACGGCAGCAAAGAAACACCUGGAGAUAAACCCUGACCAUUCCAUUAUCGAGACCUUAAGGCAAAAGGAAGACGCUAAUAAGAACGACAAGUCUGUGAAGGAUCUGGUCAUUUUGCUUUAUGAAACUGCGCUCCUAUCUUCUGGCUUCAGUUUGGAAGAUCCCCAGACACACGCUAACAGGAUCUACAGGAUGAUCAGACUUGGUCUAUGUAUUGAUGAAGAUGACCCUACUGCUGAUGAUACCAGUGCAGCUGUAACUGAAGAAAUGCCACCCCUCGAAGGAGAUGAUGACACAUCAUGCGUGGAGGAAGUGGACUAA